GCACUACCUUGUCGAAGAGGAAGCGUUAUCCUCUUUCAGAGUUAAAUAAUUUGUCGAGCAAUAAUUUUACAGUUCCAGCAACUACAGCAUAAACUGGAAAACGAAACCGAAUCUGAUUUGUUAUCCGUGCUCACAGAGCGCGUCACCAGGGGGCACCGUGCGCUGCGCCUCCGGUCUCGAAGGAUCUAACAAGCGGUUGAUGCAGCUGCGAAUGUGUAGUCAGUCGGUUUUUAUCGUUUUAUGUUGUGCAGAUUGUUAGUUCGCCGUAAAUUUGUCUUGAUUUGUACUCAAGAGUGGAGCAAGGCCCCAAGGAACAGAGAUUGACGCAACGGGAGCGAAGAACAGAAGCGAUGGAUGGUUACGCUGGUUGACUCUCGGCAUGUUCAAAAUGGCGAAGUUCCGAAUUUGUCGCUGUGUGACGUGCGCGUGUGUGCUCGUGAUGUGCCGUCAUAGCGCGGGGAUAUUUGUGCUGAAUGUGUUUCACUUCGUCUACAAAACUCUGCACGCAAUGGCAUCGAAGAAGUCGUGUGUUCAGGUGCACGUAUGUGCAUGCUUGGAUACGGAAAGCCUGCCCUCAACGGUAGCGCUGAGCUCAGCCGUGUUGGCUCAGCGCUACCCCCUCAACGGAUGUUCAACAGUCUACGUGCUCGUAACUUGCUGACGAGACCUCCUUGCUGUUGCAACUCUGAGGACAAUUGCUUCAAAUGGGAAGGAACAAAGAGCACUGCCAGCGCUAUUUGUACAUGAGGACACCUCCUUGCUGUUGCAACUCUGAGGACAAUUGCUUCAAAUGGGAAGAAACAACCAGCAGUGCCAGCGCUAUUUUUACAUGAGGACACCUCCUUGCUGUUGCAACUCUGAGGACAAUUGCUUCAAAUGGGAAGAAACAACCAGCAGUGCCAGCGCUAUUUUUACAUGAGGACACCUCCUUGCUGUUGCAACUCUGAGCACAAUUACUUCAAAUGGGAAGGAACAACCAGCAGUGCCAGCGCUAUUUGUACAUGAGGACGACGAGAGGGUUCCACUCACCCCCUGUGUGGUGUAUUCUGGCCACAACCUGGAACAGGCAGAGUUUCUCCACCUCUGUGUCGACAAGGAGCGGCUGUUCAUGGUCAAAAAUGCGGAGGAAGGGGUCAUCGCAAUCAUGAGUGCAUUUUUUUAUUGAACAUAGUAUAUGGGCCUAAAUACUUCAACACCAGUGCAGUACUGGAACGAUUGUUUUUUCGUUUGAAUGUAAUAAUGCCAAGGGGUUGUUACAAAGUUUGUGAACAGAGUUGUGCAGGCAAUGCGACACCGAGGUUCAUGUACGUUACCAUACGAAUGCUAGCCUGACAAUUUUGUGCAAUAGCUUGAGCAAUAGUUUUGUGCAAUUUUUAAUGUAUCAUUUUCUUUCUUUUGAUCACGAUAAUAGCAUGAUCCAGUAACUUCCGCUGCUUGUGCCAACCACCUAUAGACUGCACCUUUUUUUGUUCUGAUGACUUGACAGACAAUGUAAUAGUGCCCAAGUGUAGGUUAGCAAAAACAAACGGGGUGUACUGUAGUCUGCACGUACUUAUCGAAAACGUUGGUGUAGUCUGCACGUACUUAUCGAAAACGUUGGUGGGUGUUGCUAUGUGCUGAAAAGAAUAUUACAAUACGUCUAGUUCUAAUGAGGUCUGCCUUAACAUUAAUGUGUGUGAAACAAUUGUCAGCAGUUUUAUACAAAGAUUAUAGCUUGCUUGCUCUUCCUUAACAUAGUUUGUUUAUGAAACCUAUUUGCCAGUCAGGGAACAAUGUCCCAGCUUAUAAGUACUGCAUGAUACAACUGUUAACGUUUGUAUUCCCUUAUAGGGCACAUCAACACUGGCAGCCAGUGCUCAACUUUUCGUAACAUGCUGCUUGGUCAAUAUUUUAUAUUUUGCGCAUGUGUUGCAUUGUGUAACCUACCCAAUACAAGUGAAAGUUUUUGUGGUUUGACUGUCCUUUUAUGAACUAUGUCUUAUGUUUAUUAUGUAUAACUUAGCAGCUGAGGCCUGACAUACUAGUCAAAACGCAGCAGAGUAUCCAAUUUUUAUAAGGUUUUACAAGGUUUUUACAAGUUUUGGAUUGUAAAACAAUGUUGCGUGGAACAAUUAUCAGGCUGAAGUACUGUUACAUUAUCAUGAAUACCGGCAGCCUUUGCUUAACCUUUAUGAAUCUGCUGGCAAGCUGUAGUAUCUUUAGCUCGUUUAGUUUUUGUACAUGUGUUGCCAAUGCCUCAUCCGCGUGAAAGCUAGUCGCUUAUAUACUACAUAUACUGGUGUUUCUACAAAGAAUUUACGUAAUAUUUAAAAAUAGUCGUUCUGAAGUACAAGGACGGCUCGUUAGAAGACAGCAAUGCUGUCAGUGGUGCCGACCAUGGGUGGAUGGGUGAUAUCUGGUAAUUAGUUGCUAAUUAACAAUCUAAUAUAUCUUUUAGUUUCAGCAGACUCAUUGUAACCAGGAAAUUAAAGCAAGCUCUCUGCACAAGACGUGAACUUUUGGAUCUGGAAAAAUACAAUUACCCGCAGAACUGUGGCGUGAUGAAUUUAGGCUGUCUGAGCACGCGAAACUGAAACUGAGAUGCUGCUGAAACUCAAGGCAACAUUUUGCUUACGUCGCCCAGCAGCGGGCUACCAGCACACUGCACGAAUCCCUAUUGCUGCCCACUGUUGGGUGAUGUGAGCAGAACGCCCCCUCGAAGGGCGCGUCUUUGUGCUCACUGUAGCCUCGGGUACAGUUUCGCGUGCUGUGAUAGCCAAAGUUCAUCGUGCUGCAGUUGUGUGGGUAAUUGCAUUUUUUCCAGAUUCUAAAGUCUAUAUGUGUUGUGCAGAGACCUUGCUUCAAUUUCCCGAUUACGAUGAGUCCACUCAAACUAAAAAUAAAAUAUAGGAACCAUUGUUAAAAGCGCAAAUCCACACAACACAAGAUAAGACCAGACGAGGACAGGCGCCUGUCCUCGUCUGGUCUUAUCUUGUGUUGUGUGGUUUUGCGCUUUUAACAAUGGUUCCUAUGACUAAACACCAACUAGCCCAACAGUCUACUCUUUUAAAAAUAAAAUGUAUUUUAUUUUUGUUAUUUAGCAACUAAUUACCAUGUAUCACCCAUAACCUCGUGGUCGACACUGCUGGUGGCAUAUCUCCAAAGGAACCGUUGUUUUAUUUCAGAACGGCUGUUUUUACAUAUCAGCAAUGUGUUUGUAGAAACACCCUUACAGAGUUGUGUGAUAUACUGUUGAACAAAUCUUAUUGUGUACUCAGGUGAAAUAUGCACAGAUAAAGAGCAGUUAUACACGGUGUCACCUCUAUUAUAAUGUACUAUAAUUUUUUUGUGUGAAGGCCACCACAGUUUUUUUUUGCAAAUGGCUGCUCUGUUUUUACUCACUCGUACUCUCUCACUUGUACUCAGUAUACACGUAUAUUAUACCACAGAUAUACUGUGAUCCAUGUGAAUUACUGUGAUCAGUUGCAAACUAUAUAUUGUUAACUGCAGUGAUACUUUACAAAUAAUGUCUGUAUUUUAUUGCUCCUUGUAUGAAAUACAAUAAAGUUCAUUCACAUUUUCUUUUCAAAUUGUUACAUAUAGGUCUCAUAUAUAUGCUUCACCAUUUAGUUAAGCUUUGCAUUUUUGUACGAAUGCAGCAGUGACUUCUUUUGUAUGUCCAUGGAGUGAAGCAGAAUACAUAUUAGCCAGAGAUCUAAGACAUGCUAAAUGUGAUGUUUUUGUGUGUGUAUAGUGCAUGUGUACGAUACGUAUAACUUGUGUUUGAAUUGUAUAGCUUGAGCAGAUUUUAAAAAAAGUGAUACAUCUCCGAUGACUGAGACCAUGAUGCAUAUUGAACUCCUGCAUGAGACAACAUGCACUUUUCAAAGCACGGCUCAUGGAAUAAUAUUUUAAAUCUCCACAUGCAUUAUACAUAUAUAUUGUUUAACUAUAAUUUAACUUAAAAAAAAACAUUUAAGUUCAGGCAACUGUAAGCAAUAUGCCAUAGGUCUCAUUCAUCUAUAAAGUGUUCCACUUUAAAGUUCGGUUCAAGCUAUUUGACAUCUGGUACAGGGGCUGUACACCCAUCUGGCACCCUCCACAGUGGGUGUUAAAUAAGGAAAAAUAAAUGAAGGGUGUAGCUGCCACCCUUCGGUUGGGGUGUUAUCACAACACCCUACAGUUUCUUUACAUGGGCACCCUUGUUUUAGGGUGUGCCGAAAAGGCACCUUGUAAAAUAGGUGCUAACUUACACCCUUAGGGUGUCGUCUCUGCGACAAGCCUAUUUACACCCUUCUGGGUGUAAAAACUUUUACUGUGU